GAACGUCAGAGUGCCAGCUUGGGGAGCCUGCUGGUUUUAUUUCCUGGUAAUGAGGCCUUUCAUUUGUUUUUGAGUCUUCAUUUUGGGCAUGCCUUUUGUAUUUUUCUAAUUUUGUACACAUUUAUGUUUCGUCACCAUCUGAACAAAUAAUAAUCUGCUUUAACUGGCCGACCAAGAGGUCAAGAGAGAGCUGAUCUUGGACCAAGAGAACAUCAGAUACGGGGGAGGAGAGCGAUACAUGGGGAGAGAUGGAGAGGGGAAAAUAAAAGCACUUUGCAGGUCUGUGCUCAUCAUGCAGGUCAAUGGUGUUGAGGGGUACUGGUUCUGCUGGGGCUUUACAUUCUCUUUCUCGUCUACUCUCCUCUCUCUCUCAUGCCCUGAGUGGAGCACCAAUCAACUCCAUCUAUUGGCAGUCCCAGUGGACCACAAACCUGAUGCCUUAUCAAAGGAAUUGAUAGAAAGAACAUGGCACAAACACAACUGAAUCAUAGAGGUUGGUGACGCAAACCCAGACCUCUCUCUCUCCCUCAUCUUGUUUCUGGCCCAUGGUAGUGAGGUAUUCUGGGCUCAGGGACAUGAGUCACCAUCCAGAGGAUGCUGCAUGACGUAGCGAACAACCUCUCUUCAAGCACGACAGCAAUUGGUCUAAUUGGAGUGAUGGUCACACUAUGAUCAGACUCUGGAAGGUUGUCCUGUACAACACUGGUAACAGACAAAUCAUCUAAUCCUCCAACAAUGUACUAGGCCAUCUGGCUCAGACAAUCAACUAAUAUUGGCAUAGCUGGACCUGGAAGUCUUCACCAGUCCAACCACCAUCUCCUGACCCUGCUGUUUGUUUUGAGCGACGCAGAGGGUGAUUUGGGCCAGGACAGAGUACAGUCUGCGGUGUACCUAACAAGCUGGAUAGGAAGCCUAUGGGACUGCCUGUCUUUUUGCAGACCAGUAUUGGCUGCAAAUGAUGAGUGUGUAAAGCUUGGGCUACGUUUUGUGUGUGUGUGUGUGUGAAUGUACAAGGUUGAGCACACAUUGGUGAAUAAGAAAGCCAAACACCAAGAUUGAGGCAGGCCUGGCUAACAAGCUGUGCUGUGCUAAGAGGCUCAGAACAAAACUCUUGUUGUUGGCUGUCCAGAUGGAUCCUGGUGGAUGGACAAUGGAUGAUGCCUGAUAGGACAGCUAGGUCUGAGUACAGCCAAGACCCC